AUAUCUUGGUAAACGCUGCAUUAUUAAUGUAGAGGAAAGUCCAUACUCGCAAAGUCUGAGAUGACUUUAGUGAUUGCGCUAAGGGAAAAAAUAACCUUAGGUAGCUAAUUUUAGCUAACGGCUUCGAAAUAACCUGUCAAAUGGUUAAAGUAGAUAUAAAAGUGCCAAAGAGACGAGAAUACUUGGAAACGAGUAUUGUGGAACGUGGUAAACCCCGCAAGUGAGAAACCCAAAUUAUGGUAGGGGAACCUUUCAAAGUAAAAUGAAACGAAGAAAGGAACUUAUAAAAGUUAGAUAAAUGUUUACCGCCUAAUUUAUUAGGUACAGAAUAUGGCUUAUAAGA
rnacentral:RNase_P_RNA from 1 species